rnacentral:rRNA from 1 species
CGUAGGUGGCAAGCGUUGUCCGGAGUUACUGGGUGUAAAGGGCGUGUAGGCGGGAAGAUAAGUCAGAUGUGAAAUUCCAUGGCUCAACUGUGGCGCUGCAUCUGAAACUAUUUUUCUUGAGUGAUGGAGAGGAAAGUGGAAUUCCUAGUGUAGCGGUGAAACGCGUAGAUAUUAGGAGGAACACCAGUGGCGAAGGCGACUUUCUGGACAUUAACUGACGCUGAGGCGCGAAAGCGUGGGGAGCAAACAGGAUUAGAUACCCUGGUAGUCCACGCUGUAAACGAUGGAUACUAGGUGUAGGAGGUAUCGACCCCUUCUGUGCCGGAGUUAACACAAUAAGUAUCCCACCUGGGGAGUACGGCCGCAAGGUUG